rnacentral:rRNA from 1 species
GACAGAGGGUGCAACCGUUGUUCGGAUUUACUGGGCGUAAAGCGCGUGUAGGCGGCUUGGCAAGUCGGAUGUGAAAGCCCACGGCUCAACCGUGGAGGCGCACCCGAAACGGCCUCGCUCGAGUCUCGGAGAGGAAGGUGGAAUGCUUGGUGUAGAGGUGAAAUUCGUAGAUAUCAAGCAGAACACCUGCGGCGAAGGCGGCCUUCUGGACGAUGACUGACGCUGAGACGCGAAAGCGUGGGGAGCAAACAGG